CACAUCUCUCUGUUCUAAAACACAUCUCUCUGUUCUAAAACACACCUCUCUCUGUUCUAAAACACAUCUCUCUUCUCUGGCAGGAGAGAGCCAAUUAGAGGUACUUAUACUCAAGAGAUAUGAUCUUUUUAAUCCUCUGAUCUCUGUGCUCAGAACAGGCUCUUAAACGGACACGUGUGGUGAAGAAGUGGUCAAGUUGUUUGACCUACUUCUAUAGUGUUUAAUCUGCAACCUCAGUUAAACUUAUUGAAGAAAAAAACAACAACCUCUCCGAUGAUAACAGACCAGAAUCCAUACUACGGGUUAUAUAUCCGUUUUCUAAGGUAACUGUUGGUUAUUAUGAGGGCUCGGGACAAGGCUAAAUCUUCUUUCGUAGGAUGUUGUUUUUUUUAGCCACUGGAGGUUGGUGGCACCUUAAUUUGAGGAGGACGGGCUCGUGGUAACAGCUGGAGCGGAAUCAGUGGAAUGGAAUCAAACACAUGGUUUCCAUGGUUUCCCCGGGUGUUGGAUGUCGUUCCAUUUUCUUCCGUUCCCGGCUACUAUCACGAGCUGUCCUCCUCUCAGCAGCCUCCUGUGUUUUAGGCAUGUAUGUAACAUACGGUACAUACUGCACCAAUGUUGCAUAACCAUGAUACUCUGACUCUCUCACAUAACCAUGCUACUCUGAAUCUCUCACAUAACCAUGAUACUCUGAAUCUCUCACAUAACCAUGAUACUCUGAAUCUCUCACAUAACCAUGAUAGACUGAAUCUCUCACAUAACCAUGAUAGACUGAGUCUCUCACAAAGCUAUUCUUUCAUCUCAGUCCCAUGAUGUUGAUGCUGGCUAAAGACAUCUAUUUAUCCCCCACACCCCCCCAACCUCCCCUUUGGAAUUUCCCUUUAAGAUCAGAUCUAUUUCAUACCCAGCUCAGCGUGAUAGCUCGAGCAGCAGGCCCGAUCGCACCUCAUGACGUUUAACCACAACACCACUCGUUCUCACGCUGUCUCUCCGCUAUAAUGAGGAUCUCUGCACAAUUGUCGCUUCCCUUCUAUGUUAAAGACACGUAGUUCUGUUUCACACCUUCACAUCGUCAGCUGUCCAGACAUGGUGUACUGUGGGUAGUAGACAUGGGGUAUUGUAGGUAGGUUGACUCGGUGUCGUGCUUCUACAUCUGCAUUGCGUGCUGUUUUGUUUUGGGGGGGGGGGUUAGGCUGGGUUUCUGUAUAAGCACUUGGUGAUAUCUGGCUUUAUAAAUACAUUUGAUUGUGUUGAUUGAAUGUAUUGUGGGUAGACAUGGUACAGAGUGGCCCAGCGUCGUCUGGGUUUUGGCCGGUGUAGGCCGUCAUUGUAGACAGACUGGCCUAGUUAAAUAAAAGUGAACUAUUUUGGGUAGACAUGGUACAGUGUGGCCCAGCGUCAUCCAUAUAAAUAAAGGUUAACUAUUCAGUGUCUGUCUGUCCACUGUCUCUCUGUCCAGUGUCUGUCUGUCCAGUGUCUGUCUGUCUGUCCAGUGUCUGUCUGUCUGUCCAGUGUCUGUCUGUCUGUCCAGUAUCUGUCUGUUCAGUGUCUGUCUGUCCAGUGUCUGUCUGUCUGUCCAGUGUCUGCCUGUUCAGUAUCUGUCUGUCUGUUCAGUGUCUGUCUGUCCAGUGUCUGUCUGUCUGUCCAGUGUCUGUCUGUUCAGUGUCUGUCUGUCCAGUGUCUGUCUGUCUGUCCAGUGUCUGCCUGUUCAGUGUCUGUCUGUCUGUCCAGUGUCUGUCUGUCCAGUGUCUGUCUAUUCAGUGUCUGUCUGUCUGUUCAGUGUCUGUCUGUCUGUCUAGUGUCUGUCUGUUCAGUGUCUGUCUGUCCAGUGUCUGUCUGUCUGUUCAGUGUCUGUCUGUCCAGUGUCUGUCUGUCUGUCCAGUGUCUGCCUGUUCAGUGUCUGUCUGUCUGUCCAGUGUCUGUCUGUCCAGUGUCUGUCUGUUCAGUGUCUGUCUGUCUGUUCAGUGUCUGUCUGUCUGUCUGUCCAGUGUCUGUCUGUUCAGUGUCUGUCUGUCCAGUGUCUGCCUGUUCAGUGUCUGCCUGUUCAGUGUCUGUCUGUCUGUUCAGUGUCUGUCUGUCUGUCCAGUGUCUGUCUGUCUGUCCAGUGUCUGUCUGUUCAGUGUCUGUCUGUCCAGUGUCUGUCUGUGUGUUCAGUGUCUGUCUGUCCAGUGUCUGUCUGUCUGUCUGUUCAGUGUCUGUCUGUCUGUCCAGUGUCUGUCUGUUCAGUGUCUGUCUGUCUGUCUGUCUGUCUGUCUGUCUGUCUGUCUGUCUGUCUGUCUGUCUGUCUGUCCAGUGUCUGUCUGUCCAGUGUCUGUCUGUCUGUUCAGUGUCUGUCUGUCUGUUCAGUGUCUGUCUGUUCAGUGUCUGUCUGUCUGUCCAGUGUCUGUCUGUCUGUCCAGAGAGGGGAGGUCUAACCUGACACCACAGACAGACGGAAAGAGAGGGGAGGUCUAACCUGACACCACAGACAGAUAGAGAGGGGAGGUCUAACUUGACACCACAGACAGAUAGAGAGGGGAGGUCUAACCUGACACAACAGACAGAUAGAGUGGACAGCUAGAGAAGGGAGGUCUAACUUGACACCACAGACAGACGGAAAGAGAGGGGAGGUCUAACCUGACACCACAGACAGAUAGAGAGGGGAGGUCUAACCUGACACCACAGACAGACAGAAAGAGAGGGGAGGUCUGACCUGACACCACAGACAGAUAGAGAGGGGAGGUCUAACCUGACCCCACAGACAGAUGGAAAGAGAGGGGAGGUCUGACCUGACACCACAGACAGAUAGAGAGGGGAGGUCUAACCUGACCCCACAGACAGAUGGAAAGAGAGGGGAGGUCUAACCUGACACCACAGACAGACAGAAAGAGAGAGAGGGGAGGUCUAACUUGACACCACAGACAGACGGAAAGAGAGGGGAGGUCUAACUUGACACCACAGACAGACAGAAAAAGAGCGGAGGUCUAACCUGACACCACAGACAGACGGAAAGACAGGGGAGGUCUAACCUGACACCACAGACAGAAAGAGAGGGGAGGUCUAACCUUACACCACAGACAGACGGAAAGAGAGGGGAGGUCUAACCUGACACCACAGACAGAGAGACAGAGAGAGAGGGGAGGUCUAACUUGACACCACAGACAGACAGAAAGAGAGGGGAGGUCUAACCUGACACCACAGACAGACGGAAAGAGAGAGAGGGGAGGUCUAACUUGACACCACAGACAGACAGAAAGAGAGGGGAGGUCUAACCUGACACCACAGACAGACAGAAAGAGAGAGAGGGGAGGUCUAACUUGACACCACAGACAGACAGAAAGAGAGGGGAGGUCUAACCUGACACAACAGACAGAUAGAGUGGACAGCUAGAGAAGGGAGGUCUAACUUGACACCACAGACAGACGGAAAGAGAGGGGAGGUCUAACCUGACACCACAGACAGAUAGAGAGGGGAGGUCUAACCUGACACCACAGACAGACAGAAAGAGAGGGGAGGUCUAACCUGACACCACAGACAGACAGAAAGAGAGAGAGGGGAGGUCUAACUUGACACCACAGACAGACGGAAAGAGAGGGGAGGUCUAACUUGACACCACAGACAGACAGAAAAAGAGCGGAGGUCUAACCUGACACUACAGACAGACGGAAAGACAGGGGAGGUCUAACCUGACACCACAGACAGAAAGAGAGGGGAGGUCUAACCUUACACCACAGACAGACGGAAAGAGAGGGGAGGUCUAACCUGACACCACAGACAGAGAGACAGAGAGAGAGGGGAGGUCUAACUUGACACCACAGACAGACAGAAAGAGAGGGGAGGUCUAACCUGACACCACAGACAGACGGAAAGAGAGAGAGGGGAGGUCUAACUUGACACCACAGACAGACAGAAAGAGAGGGGAGGUCUAACCUGACACCACAGACAGACAGAAAGAGAGAGAGGGGAGGUCUAACUUGACACCACAGACAGACAGAAAGAGAGGGGAGGUCUAACCUGACACCACAGACAGACAGAAAGAGACGGGAGGUCUGACUUGACACCACAGACAGACGGAAAAAGAGGGGAGGUCUAACUUGACACCACAGACAGACGGAAAGACAGGGGAGGUCUAACCUGACACCACAGACAGACAGAAAGAGAGAGAAGGGAGAUCUAACUUGACACCACAGACAGACAGAAAGAGAGAGGAGGUCUAACCUGACACCACAGACAGAAAGAGAGGGGAGGUCUAACCUGACACCACAGACAGACGGAAAGAGAGGGGAGGCCUGACCUGAUACCGCAGACAGACAGAAAGAGAGGGGAGGUCUAACCUGACACCACAGACAGAAAGAGAGGGGAGGUCUAACCUGACACCACAGACAGACGGAAACAGGGGGGGGCCUGACCUGAUACUGCAGACAGACAGAAAGAGAGGGGAGGUCUAACCUGACACCGCAGACAGACAGAAAGAGAGGGGAGGUCUAACCUGACACCACAGACAGACAGAAAGAGAGAGAGGGGAGGUCUAACUUGACACCACAGACAGACAGAAAGAGAGGGGAGGUCUAACCUGACCACAGACAGACGGAAAGAGAGGGGAGGUCUAACCUGACACCACAGACAGACGGAAAGAGAGGGGAGGUCUAACCCAACACCACUUUCAGACAGAAAGGUUGAAAAGUCCUGAAUCAAGAAAAACAGCAAAAUAAAACCCCUUCUGGGUCCCACAAGGUCAACCACCACCCCUCCACGUCUCUUCACACAUACCUCAGCAUCAGCAUAGCAGUUGGAGUCCAGACCCGGCGGAUGCUGAUGAAGCUAUGCAUACCAUCACCAAGUGUUUGUGUAGAAGAAGAUGAGUAUACACAUUCCUGCUGCAUUUUGGUCCACUCAAUACGACAAACGUUACAGAACUACCCACCAACAACGGACCAAGCAGCGGAGGAAGGAGCAGCAAGAGGAGUAUAAGGAGUCAUGGACUUGGGAGGAGAUAUUAGCUGGAGAAGGACCAUGGAGGAAGACUGGAGAGGACCGGGAACGCUAUGCGGGAACACGGCUGGCAAGGAAGCCUGAGAGGCAGCCCCCCAAAAAUGUUUGGGGGGGGGGCACACGGGAAGAUUGGCUAGGUCAGGCAUUAGACCUGAGCCAACUCCCUGUGCUUAUUAUGGGGAGCGUUUGGCGGUGAGAACGCCAGUAUAUGCGGAAGUGCGCACGAUCUCGCCCAUGCGCACGCACAGUCCGGUGCGAGUAAUACCAGCCCCCGUAAGUGCCGUGCUAGAGUGGGCAUCCAAGCUGGGGUCAUAUUUUGCUAAUGUGCCUGAAAGUAUUAAUGUUGGACUAGGUCUAUAACACUGUAUAAAUGCUGGACUAGGUCUGUAACACUGUAUUAAUGCUGCACUGGGCCAGUAACACUGUAUUAAUGCUGGGCUGGGUCUGUAACACUGUAUUAAUGCUGGACUAGGUCUAUAACACUGUAUUAAUGCUGGACUAGGUCUAUAACACUGUAUUAAUGCUGGACUAGGUCUAUAACACUGUAUUAAUGCUGAACUGGGUCAGUAACACUGUAUUAAUGCUGAACUGGGCCAGUAACACUGUAUUAAUGCUGGACUAGGUCUAUAACACUGUAUUAAUGCUGGACUAGGUCUAUAACACUGUAUUAAUGCUGAACUAGGUCUAUAACACUGUAUUAAUGCUGAACUGGGCCAGUAACACUGUAUUAAAGCUGGACUGGGUCAGUAGCACUG
rnacentral:lncRNA from 1 species